rnacentral:lncRNA from 1 species
CCCAGAGAGAUUCUUCACCUCUGCGAGAUAGAAUGCCGGAGAGAUUAAAAACCUGCAAAACUAGGAAGAGUCCUUGCAGCACACCCCUUUAAAAUGGUACCGUCGUGGGAAUGGAGGGUGGGUUAUAAGGAAGCAGGCUUUUUAUUAUAUGAAAAUAUUUGUGUUUGAGAAGGGGGGCCACCGGCGGCCCAACCCAAUUCCUGCAAUGAGAGACGAGUUUUCAGGACCUUUGUGGAGCCGCCUCCGGUAACUUGUCAUUAAUGUCCUGCCCUGUGAACCUUAUUGAUUUGUUGCACUCCCCGAUCAAAAAUCCAAGCAACAUCUUUGAGAAAAACUAAUAAUCAGAGUCUUCCGAGCAACAUGCAGCUGUGGUCUGUAUCCAUCAUCACCUGUCUGCUGUGUGGCCAACAUGACAAGGAGACAUGCUCUAAACUGGUUGGUACCGAUGUCAAGACCAUGAGAGUCAAUAUGGAUGCCCAGGCCUAGGGUAUUAACAUUCCUCCUAAGCAAAUCACUAAGACAACAAG